rnacentral:rRNA from 1 species
AUGAAGGUCUUAGGAUCGUAAAGCACUCUCGCCAGGGAUGAUAUGACAGUACCUGGUAAAGAAACCCCGGCUCACUCCGUGCCAGCAGCCGCGGUAAUACGGAGGGGGUUAGCGUUGUUCGGAAUUACUGGGCGUAAAGCGUACGUAGGCGGAUUGGAAAGUUGGGGGUGAAAUCCCAGGGCUCAACCCUGGAACUGCCUCCAAAACUAUCAGUCUAGAGUUCGAGAGAGGUGAGUGGAAUUCCAAGUGUAGAGGUGAAAUUCGUAGAUAUUUGGAGGAACACCAGUGGCGAAGGCGGCUCACUGGCUCGAUACUGACGCUGAGGUACGAAAGUGUGGGGAGCAAACAGGAUUAGAUACCCUGGUAGUCCACACCGUAAACGAUGAAUGCCAGUCGUCGGGCAGUAUACUGUUCGGUGACACACCUAACGGAUUAAGCAUUCCGCCUGGGGAGUACGGUCGCAAGAUUAAAACUCA